UACAGAGGUCCCAAGCGUUGUUCGGAUUCACUGGGCGUAAAGGGUGCGUAGGUGGCGCCGUAAGUCAGGUGUGAAAUUUCGGAGCUUAACUCCGAAACUGCAUUUGAUACUGCGGUGCUUGAGGACUGGAGAGAAGAGUGGAAUUCCACGUGUAGCGGUGAAAUGCGUAGAGAUGUGGAGGAACACCAGUGGCGAAGGCGACUCUUUGGCCUGUAACUGACGCUGAGGCGCGAAAGCGUGGGGAGCAAACAGG
rnacentral:rRNA from 1 species